rnacentral:lncRNA from 1 species
GCCGGAGCGGCGGCGGCGGUGGGGGUGGGGGUGGGGGUCGGGCCCCCGCGGCGCUCCCCACCCCCCACCCCCGCGCUACCUCGGGCUCGGUGCACGCGUAGCCGGGCCGGCAGGUCCCCCGCCCCGGGGCGCACGGCCCGGGCCCCGAAGUCCGGCCGCCGACGCCUGGGGACCCGCGGGCCGCGCUCCCGCCGCCGAGCGCGCACCCCCGCCGGGACACGGACGCACACUCACCCGACACACACCGGCUCCCGCUCCCGCUCGCCCUCGGCGGAGAGUUGCAGCAGCUGCGGGUUCGCCCGGGGCCGGGGGGGCGCGUGUGCGCUGUGCGCGUGCAGACGGGGGGCGCAUCGCUAACAAAUCGAACCCGCCAUAAAGUGAGGAGCGCGGCUGGCCGGGUCCGCGGGGGGCGGACGGGGGCGGACGGGGAGCGGGCUUGCCGCGGGCCGCCUUGCUCCUCCCCGGCCCGGCGCUCCCCGCGCAGCGACACGUUAAUAAAUGUUUCCUUUUAUCCGCUUUCACAAGGGCCCGCCCGGGUCUGCAAACACCCGGCCGCCCUUUGCCGAGAGCCCGCCGGUCGGCUCGCCCCGCACCGCGCACCUGGCCCUGGAGCCGCCGGCUGCAGCCCGAGCGCCCAGCUAGACCGCAGGGUGAACUGCCCAGCGCCCCGGAGGCUUCCCGAGAUCCCACAGGCUAAAAAAAUAUAUUGGAGUGUAACCUACAUCAGAAGAGUGCCCAGAUCCCAAAGGCAAACUUGAAUCGUCACAAGGUGAGGUACACACCUGACCCAGCCCCCAGAGGAAGAAAUGGCACCACCAGUUAAUAGAGGUCAUCUGCAUACACUUUCCGAGGGGCACAAUUUCAUCCUUGGUGUAAGGGAGACUGGACCCCAGCCAGCCUCCAUCUCCCCCAGCUGUUCCAUUUGAGUCGUUGAUGUACUGUUUUACGUACUGGACUUCCUGAAAGGGACCCUACCUGUGUCUUCAGAUUUUAAUUUCAUCUUGAUUCUACCCUGCUGGCAGCAGAUACUCCAAAUCACAGAAUGUGGUGUCAGAAAUCUGGAAGAGAUGGGUCAUAUUUGUUUUAACUGCUGGAAGAAAAGCCCCCUGGGGAGUCGGCCAGUGGAGGCAGGAGCUCAGCUCGCCUGAGUUAGAGGGCCAGUGGGCCAACAGUGGGGACGAAGGACAUGCACA